rnacentral:rRNA from 1 species
GACGAACGCUGGCGGCGUGCUUAACACAUGCAAGUCGAACGGAAAGGUCCUGCUUUUGUGGGGUGCUCGAGUGGCGAACGGGUGAGUAACACGUGAGUAACCUGCCCUUGACUUUGGGAUAACUUCAGGAAACUGGGGCUAAUACCGGAUAGGAGCUCCUGCUGCAUGGUGGGGGUUGGAAAGUUUCGGCGGUUGGGGCUGGACUCGCGGCUUAUCAGCUUGUUGGUGGGGUAGUGGCUUACCAAGGCUUUGAAGGGUAGCCGGCCUGAGAGGGUGACCGGCCACAUUGGGACUGAGAUACGGCCCAGACUCCUACGGGAGGCAGCAGUGGGGAAUAUUGCACAAUGGGCGGAAGCCUGAUGCAGCAACGCCGCGUGCGGGAUGACGGCCUUCGGGUUGUAAACCGCUUUCGCCUGUGACGAAGCGUGAGUGACGGUAAUGGGUAAAGAAGCACCGGCUAGCUACGUG